rnacentral:rRNA from 1 species
AUUGAACGCUGGCGGCAUGCUUUACACAUGCAAGUCGAACGGUAACAGGCCGCAAGGUGCUGACGAGUGGCGAACGGGUGAGUAAUGCAUCGGAACGUGCCCAGUCGUGGGGGAUAACGCAGCGAAAGCUGUGCUAAUACCGCAUACGAUCUAUGGAUGAAAGCGGGGGACCGUAAGGCCUCGCGCGCUUGGAGCGGCCGAUGGCAGAGUAGCUAGUUGGUGGGGUAAAGGCCCACCAAGGCGACGAUCUGUAGCUGGUCUGAGAGGACGACCAGCCACACUGGGACUGAGACACGGCCCAGACUCCUACGGGAGGCAGCAGUGGGGAAUUUUGGACAAUGGGCGCAAGCCUGAUCCAGCAAUGCCGCGUGCAGGAAGAAGGCCUUCGGGUUGUAAACUGCUUUUGUACGGAACGAAACGGCCUGGGUUAAUACCCUGGGCUAAUGACGGUACCGUAAGAAUAAGCACCGGCUAACUACGUGCCAGCAGCCGCAGUAACAC